GGUUAAGCGACUAAGCGUACACGGUGGAUGCCCUGGCAGUCAGAGGCGAUGAAGGACGUGCUAAUCUGCGAUAAGCGUCGGUAAGGUGAUAUGAACCGUUAUAACCGGCGAUUUCCGAAUGGGGAAACCCAGUGUGUUU
rnacentral:rRNA from 1 species